UGGUUGAAGCAAAAGUCUAGUAAGAGGGGAAAAAAAAACCUUCCCUGAUUUUCAAGUCAAAUCAGGGAAGAGUUAGGCCAAUUUUAAUAAACUAAGAGAAAUAAUAAGGAAGUUGCCAUUAGCAAGAAGGUAACAAUGAAUGAAAAAAAUGUAAUAAAUGGCUAAGAAAGAGCAGAAGAAUUCUUUGCCUCUGUCUUCGCAGAGUGAUUUGAAGCUAAAAAUGAAUACAAUAGAAGAGGAUACAGGUAACUACUCUGAUGUACAAGAGGAAUGCUGUGGAAACAAUCUACUUUCAGCAAAGCUUUUGACAAGGUUCCACAUCUCACUAUUCUCACUAUCAAGCUUCAAAAAUAUAGUCGGCAUACAAUAAGUCUUCUGAAGAGGAUACCGUUCCAGUGGAUGAAGCUUUCAGCAACUUCUUGUGGCCUGAAUAUCAAAUAAAUAAUCUUUUAAACAAUCA